rnacentral:rRNA from 1 species
AGUGAACGCUGGCGGUAGGCCUAACACAUGCAAGUCGAACGGCAGCACAGUAAGAGCUUGCUCUUACGGGUGGCGAGUGGCGGACGGGUGAGGAAUACAUCGGAAUCUACUUUUUCGUGGGGGAUAACGUAGGGAAACUUACGCUAAUACCGCAUACGACCUACGGGUGAAAGCAUGGGAUCUUCGGACCUUGCGCGAUUGAAUGAGCCGAUGUCGGAUUAGUUAGUUGGCGGGGUAAAGGCCCACCAAGGCGACGAUCCGUAGCUGGUCUGAGAGGAUGAUCAGCCACACUGGAACUGAGACACGGUCCAGACUCCUACGGGAGGCAGCAGUGGGGAAUAUUGGACAAUGGGCGCAAGCCUGAUCCAGCCAUGCCGCGUGGGUGAAGAAGGCCUUCGGGUUGUAAAGCCCUUUUGUUGGGAAAGAAAAGCAGCAGGUUAAUACCCCGCUGUUCUGACGUUACCCAAAGAAUAAGCACCGGCUAACUUCGUG